rnacentral:rRNA from 1 species
GAUGAACGCUGGCGGCGUGCCUAAUACAUGCAAGUCGAGCGAACAGACGAGGAGCUUGCUCCUUUGACGUUAGCGGCGGACGGGUGAGUAACACGUGGGUAACCUACCUAUAAGACUGGGAUAACUUCGGGAAACCGGAGCUAAUACCGGAUAAUAUUUCGAACCGCAUGGUUCGAUAGUGAAAGAUGGCUUUGCUAUCACUUAUAGAUGGACCUGCGCCGUAUUAGCUAGUUGGUAAGGUAACGGCUUACCAAGGCAACGAUACGUAGCCGACCUGAGAGGGUGAUCGGCCACACUGGAACUGAGACACGGUCUAGACUCCUACGGGAGGCAGCAGUAGGGAAUCUUCCGCAAUGGGCGAAAGCCUGACGGAGCAACGCCGCGUGAGUGAUGAAGGUCUUCGGAUCGUAAAACUCUGUUAUUAGGGAAGAAUAAACGUGUAAGUAACUGUGCACGUCUUGACGGUACCUAAUCAGAAAGCCACGGCUAACUACGUG